rnacentral:rRNA from 1 species
UAGGGAAUCUUCGGCAAUGGGGGGAACCCUGACCGAGCAACGCCGCGUGAGUGAAGAAGGUUUUCGGAUCGUAAAGCUCUGUUGUUAAGGAAGAACGAGUGUGAGAAUGGAAAGUUCAUACUGUGACGGUACUUAACCAGAAAGGGACGGCUAACUACGUGCCAGCAGCCGCGGUAAUACGUAGGUCCCGAGCGUUGUCCGGAUUUAUUGGGCGUAAAGCGAGCGCAGGCGGUUAGAUAAGUCUGAAGUUAAAGGCAGUGGCUCAACCAUUGUAGGCUUUGGAAACUGUUUAACCUGAGUGCAGAAGGGGAGAGUGGAAUUCCAUGUGUAGCGGUGAAAUGCGUAGAUAUAUGGAGGAACACCGGUGGCGAAAGCGGCUCUCUGGUCUGUAACUGACGCUGAGGCUCGAAAGCGUGGGGAGCGAACAGGAUUAGAUACCCUGGUAGUCCACGCCGUAAACGAUGAGUGCUAGGUGUUAGGUCCUUUCCGGGACUUAGUGCCGCAGCUAACGCAUUAAGCACUCCGCCUGGGGAGUACGACCGCAAGGUUG